rfam:TPA: Bos taurus chromosome 6, whole genome shotgun sequence.
UCCCUGGUGGCUCAGAUGGUAAGAAUCCGCCUGCAAUGCGGGAGACCUGGGUUCAAUCCCUGGUUUGGGAA